UGGGGAAUAUUGCACAAUGGGCGCAAGCCUGAUGCAGCCAUGCCGCGUGUAUGAAGAAGGCCUUCGGGUUGUAAAGUACUUUCAGUCGGGAGGAAGGUGUCAAGGUUAAUAACCUUGGCAAUUGACGUUACCGACAGAAGAAGCACCGGCUAACUCCGUGCCAGCAGCCGCGGUAAUACGGAGGGUGCAAGCGUUAAUCGGAAUUACUGGGCGUAAAGCGCACGCAGGCGGUUGAUUGAGUCAGAUGUGAAAUCCCAGGGCUUAACCCGGGAAUUGCAUCUGAUACUGGUCAGCUAGAGUCUUGUAGAGGGGGGUAGAAUUCCAUGUGUAGCGGUGAAAUGCGUAGAGAUGUGGAGGAAAACCGGUGGCGAAGGCGGCCCCCUGGACAAAGACUGACGCUCAGGUGCGAAAGCGUGGGGAGCAAACAGG
rnacentral:rRNA from 1 species